rnacentral:rRNA from 1 species
UACGAAGGGGGCUAGCGUUGCUCGGAAUUACUGGGCGUAAAGCGCACGUAGGCGGCUCUUUAAGUCGGAGGUGAAAUCCUGGAGCUCAACUCCAGAACUGCCUUCGAUACUGAAGAGCUCGAGUCCGGGAGAGGUGAGUGGAACUGCGAGUGUAGAGGUGAAAUUCGUAGAUAUUCGCAAGAACACCAGUGGCGAAGGCGGCUCACUGGCCCGGUACUGACGCUGAGGUGCGAAAAGCGUGGGGAGCAAACAGGG